UAACAAUUCAGCAAAUUUGAAUGUGUAAAAACUGAAAUGGGCAAGCCCUAUAUUUGACCCUCUAACUUUCCAAAACCCAUAAAACCUGUUGCACUUGUGAGACAUCACUGAACACAAAUAUGUGUAUUAAAUUGCAGUAAAAACUAACAGUAUUAUGACAUUCACAGUUAAAAGGCCAUGCAGAAAAUAACAAUAUUCCAGGUUUUGUUUUGGUUCUGAGCUUG